rnacentral:rRNA from 1 species
GUGCCAGCCGCCGCGGUAAUACCGGCAGCUCAAGUGAUGUCCCAUAUUAUUGGGCCUAAAGCGUCCGUAGCUGGCCGACCAAGUCUCCCGGGAAAUCCGUCAGCCCAACUGACGGGCGUCCGGUGGAAACUGUGUGGCUUGGGACCGGAAGACCCGAAGGGUACGUCUUGGGUAGGAGUGAAAUCCCGUAAUCCUGGACGGACCGCCGAUGGCGAAAGCACUUCGGGAAGACGGAUCCGACGGUGAGGAACGAAAGCCAGGGUCUCGAACCGGAUUAGAUACCCUGGUAGUCC